rnacentral:rRNA from 1 species
GCAUGGCCCAUGGAAGAAAAGGUGGCCUCUACCUGUAAGCUAUCGCCUGAAGAGGGGUUUGCGUCUGAUUAGCUGGUUGGAGGGGUAACGGCCCACCAAGGCGACGAUCAGUAGCCGGUCUGAGAGGAUGAACGGCCACACUGGAACUGAGACACGGUCCAGACUCCUACGGGAGGCAGCAGUGGGGAAUCUUCCGCAAUGGGCGAAAGCCUGACGGAGCAACGCCGCGUGAGUGAUGACGGCCUUCGGGUUGUAAAACUCUGUGAUCCGGGACGAAAAGGCAGAGUGCGAAGAACAAACUGCAUUGACGGUACCGGAAAAGCAAGCCACGGCUAACUACGUGCCAGCAGCCGCGGUAAUACGUAGGUGGCGAGCGUUGUCCGGAAUUAUUGGGCGUAAAGCGCGCGCAGGCGGCUUCCCAAGUCCCUCUUAAAAGUGCGGGGCUUAACCCCGUGAUGGGAAGGAAACUGGGAAGCUGGAGUAUCGGAGAGGAAAGUGGAAUUCCUAGUGUAGCGGUGAAAUGCGUAGAGAUUAGGAAGAACACCGGUGGCGAAGGCGACUUUCUGGACGAAAACUGACGCUGAGGCGCGAAAGCGUGGGGAGCAAACAGGAUUAGAUACCCUGGUAGUCCACGCCGUAAACGAUGGAUACUAGGUGUAGGAGGUAUCGACCCCUCCUGUGCCG